AUACGUAGGUGGCGAGCGUUGUCCGGAAUUACUGGGUGUAAAGGGCGUGUAGGCGGGAAUGCAAGUCAGAUGUGAAAGCCCGGGGCUUAACCCCGGAUAUGCAUCUGAAACUGUGUUUCUUGAGUGCUGGAGAGGAAAGCGGAAUUCCUAGUGUAGCGGUGAAAUGCGUAGAUAUUAGGAGGAACACCAGUGGCGAAGGCGGCUUUCUGGACAGUAACUGACGCUGAGGCGCGAAAGCGUGGGGAGCAAUCAGGAUUAGAUACCCUGGUAGUCCACGCCGUAAACGAUGGAUACUAGGUGUAGGAGGUAUCGACCCCUCCUGUGCCGGAGUUAACACAAUAAGUAUCCCACCUGGGGAGUACGGCCGCAAGGUUGAA
rnacentral:rRNA from 1 species